CCUCUUUGCCCCAUCUGCAACCCGGUUGUUGUCAGGGACCUUCCUUCUGGGUGCGAGGCUGCUUUCAGCAAGAACCAUGGCACAGCCUUGGUGCCUGAGAGUCGCAGCCUCCCCACUGCCUCACCUUGUCUUUUGAUUUUUCACUUUGACUCAUUGCUGCCAGUCAUCCCUGUCAUCAAUAAUAAGAGUGGCAAUGUGAACGCUCCAGGGCUGCACAGGAUGACUGUAGCCACACAAGGUUCCAGCAGCAGUGUGCAUCCCGUUGUGCAAAAAAAAGAGGAGAAAAGUCCUUCCAGUCUGCACCGGGUGAAUUUUACCUCAUGCACCGCUUCGGGAUCUGAUCCUGAUUCUUCAAAGCUAAAGCUGAGCUCCCUAGAAUGACUCUGGAGCUGAAACGUAUACCUAAGCACUUGGCUGAAUCAGUCCCUCUUGAAGUAUAAGGAAGAAGAUAUUCAGGCUUUCUAAUCCAGCAGCACAGCAGGGAAACUGCUUGUCUCUGCGUGAUUGUGUAAUUGCUUUUCAAAGAGAAGUGAGUUUCUCUAUCCACAUUGCACUAACAAAUCUCAGAAGUCACUUUGGUCUUCCAGCCUAACUUUCAACAUUAUUUGUUAUGGAUAAAACAAAAGACACUUCUAUUUCCAUAGCUGACAAGCUUUGCCUCAGGGCAUGCAUUUAUUUUCCAUGCUGUUGAUCUCUUCCUCCCUGUAUCAGGCUAAUUCAUCAGAUUAAUAAAGGACGAUUUAGCUUCCUGCAGGGUGUUAUUGAUCUCUCGGGGAACAUGGCAGUUGUUUGCUAUGCCACCUUUCCCCUGAGCAAAGGGGAUGAUUUUUAAAUAUUUCUAACACUUGAAGGUACAGGCAGCUCUCACCAAGCAGCUACAGAGGAGCAAAAGGCAGCAGCAAAGGGAAAAUGUAAAAUGUAUCACCUGAAUCCCUAUUUCCCUGCCUCUGUACUCAUCAGUGUGUCCAGAGCACACAAAGCCUCAGCAAGGAGGUGGGAGUGAGCACUUGGCUCCAACAAGAGGCUCCAGGAAGACAAGGCACAUCUGGAUUGAGCUGGCACGUAUUUCAUCCACCCACGCCGAGCAUUAUUUCAAACAUGCAGCACAGUUCACAGAUUAUCAGGUCAGAGACGCCCCCUGUACCAGCCCUGUCUCAGACCCUGCUAGGUUCUGUUUCAGAAAUGCUCAUGUGCCAUCCAACACAGAAACAAAAGUGUCUCCUUACCAGUGCUGAAAUUCCUCCCUCUAUCCCACCAUGAUCAUACCUUUACCUUCAAGGUACAGUGCUGGACAAGGAGC